GGGUGUGGUCAUACCAGCACUUAUGCACCGGAUGCCAUCUGAACUUUGAAGUUAAGCAUGCUUGGGCAAGAGUAGUAUUAGGAUGGGUGACCUCCUGGGAAGUCCUUUGUCGCAACCC
rnacentral:rRNA from 1 species